GGCGGCGGCAGCGGCGGCGGAGGCGGCGGCAGCAUCGCUCCCCGGAGCCGGCUGCAGGGUUCUCCAGCCUCAGAGCGUGGACUGAGAGAGGCCCAGCGAACAGAAUUGAAUUUCAUCACCCAGUCUCCAGAGCCAGCAAGACAUGGGCCCCGUUUUCCAACCCCUCAUGCCUCUCCUGUAAUCAGACGACGUGGAGAGGAACUCUCCCAACCAUGUAGAUGCCAGCUCAGGGGAGCAGCAUGGAUCUUGCUGGAUGGAGACUUCUAGGUCUGCAGCCCUGAGCCCCUCCAGCCCCUGGACCUCCCCCGACACCUGGGGACAUCCCUUGGAGCUCGCCGCUGCUGCUGCUGCUGCUGCCUCCGCCGCCGCCAGCCCACCUCAGCCGCCCCCUCCCCGUGGGGCAC